rnacentral:lncRNA from 1 species
ACAGUUUUUAAAUGAAAGCUCUAUCUUUAUUAACAAAAAAGUUAUGCAAAAUUUUCGAUCUAAAAAAGUACAUGUUAAUGGUAAAAAACCGAAAUUUCGAUUUUUCUCAAAAACCGUAAACUUUUGAGUUUUUCAUAAUUACGUACAAGGUGCCCCUUUGCAAGGAGUACUUGACAGUUUUUAAAUGAAAGCUCUAUCUUUAUUAACAAAAAAGUUAUGCAAAAUUUUCGAUCUAAAAAAGUACAUGUUAAUGGUAAAAAACCGAAAUUUCGAUUUUUCUCAAAAACCGUAAACUUUUGAGUUUUUCAUAAUUACGUACAAGGUGCCCCUUUGCAAGGAGUACUUGACAGUUUUUAAAUGAAAGCUCUAUCUUUAUUAACAAAAAAGUUAUGCAAAAUUUUCGAUCUAAAAAAGUACAUGUUAAUGGUAAAAAACCGAAAUUUCGAUUUUUCUCAAAAACCGUAAACUUUUGAGUUUUUGAUAAUUACGUACAAGGUGCCCCUUUACUAGGAGUACUUGACAGUUUUUAAAUGAAAGCUCUAUCUUUAUUAACAAAAAAGUUAUGCAAAAUUUUCGAUCUAAAAAAGUACAUGUUAAUGGUAAAAAACCGAAAUUUCGAUUUUUCUCAAAAACCGUAAACUUUUGAGUUUUUCAUAAUUACGUACAAGGUGCCCCUUUGCAAGGAGUACUUGACAGUUUUUAAAUGAAAGCUCUAUCUUUAUUAACAAAAAAGUUAUGCAAAAUUUUCGAUCUAAAAAAGUACAUGUUAAUGGUAAAAAACCGAAAUUUCGAUUUUUCUCAAAAACCGUAAACUUUUGAGUUUUUCAUAAUUACGUACAAGGUGCCCCUUUGCAAGGAGUACUUGACAGUUUUUAAAUGAAAGCUCUAUCUUUAUUAACAAAAAAGUUAUGCAAAAUUUUCGAUCUAAAAAAGUACAUGUUAAUGGUAAAAAACCGAAAUUUCGAUUUUUCUCAAAAACCGUAAACUUUUGAGUUUUUGAUAAUUACGUACAAGGUGCCCCUUUGCAAGGAGCACUUGACAGUUUUUAAAUGAAAGCUCUAUCUUUAUUAACAAAAAAGUUAUGCAAAAUUUUCGAUCUAAAAAAGUACAUGUUAAUGGUAAAAAACCGAAAUUUCGAUUUUUCUCAAAAACCGUAAACUUUUGAGUUUUUGAUAAUUACGUACAAGGUGCCCCUUUGCAAGGAGUACUUGACCGUUUUUAAAUGAAAGCUCUAUCUUUAUUAACAAAAAAGUUAUGCAAAAUUUUCGAUCUAAAAAAGUACAUGUUAAUGGUAAAAAACCGAAAUUUCGAUUUUUCUCAAAAACCGUAAACUUUUGAGUUUUUGAUAAUUACGUACAAGGUGCCCCUUUGCAAGGAGCACUUGACAGUUUUUAAAUGAAAGCUCUAUCUUUAUUAACAAAAAAGUUAUGCAAAAUUUUCGAUCUAAAAAAGUACAUGUUAAUGGUAAAAAACCGAAAUUUCGAUUUUUCUCAAAAAC